UGUGAGAGUGAUGAGUUGCACUAAUCAGUUGGGGUGCCUGCUGCAGUGGCAUCAGCACCCCAAUCUGAUCCAACAUGAGGACACGCUGUGUGCACAGGGGCCAUCUGACUCAAC